rnacentral:rRNA from 1 species
AUACGUAGGGGGCGAGCGUUGUCCGGAAUGAUUGGGCGUAAAGGGCGCGUAGGCGGCCCGGUAAGUCUGGAGUGAAAGUCCUGUUUUUAAGAUGGGAAUUGCUUUGGAUACUGUCGGGCUUGAGUGCAGGAGAGGUAAGUGGAAUUCCCAGCGUAGCGGUGAAAUGCGUAGAGAUUGGGAGGAACACCAGUGGCGAAGGCGACUUACUGGACUGUAACUGACGCUGAGGCGCGAAAGUGUGGGGAGCAAACAGGAUUAGAUACCCUGGUAGUCCACACUGUAAACGAUGAAUGCUAGGUGUAGGGGGUAUCGACCCCUUCUGUGCCGCAGUCAACACAAUAAGCAUUCCGCCUGGGGAGUACGGCCGCAAGGUUG